GACGUAGGGCGCGAGCGUUUGUCCGGAUUUAUUGGGCGUAAAGGGCUCGUAGGCGGUUUGUCGCGUCGGGAGUGAAAUCCACUGGCUUAACUGGUGGCUUGCUUUCGAUACGGGCAGACUGGAGGUAUGCAGGGGAGAACGGAAUUCCUGGUGUAGCGGUGAAAUGCGCAGAUAUCAGGAGGAACACCAAUGGCGAAGGCAGCACUCUGGGACGUGACUGACGCUGAGACGCGAAAGCGUGGGGAGCAAACAGG
rnacentral:rRNA from 1 species